GUUUUGCGUGAGGGAUAGAAGUGAAAAGCCCACAAACAAGUGUAGCGAUAGCGAAACUUGUUGAGGACUUGUAACGAAUAGCCCGACCCGAU
rnacentral:misc_RNA from 1 species